GAUAUAUAUAAAAUACAAAUACGAAGAUGUUUAGUCAUAUUUGUUUAUUUUUUAAUUAUUAAUGAAGUGGACACUAAAUCUAUUUAAUUGCAACUAUGUGUUAUGGAGUAGAGGAGCCAGCAACCAUCAAACUGUGAUUUUGUGUCUCCAUAACACAUUGUUGCAAAUAAUGGAUUAGACUGCAGCAAGAAAUUUUAUUGCAGAUAGAUUCCUUGUUUUUCCACAGAGACAAUUACAACCCAAGAAACCUACUGAAAUUAUGUUCAGACAACUGAUAUUACUUUUGCUGGUAAUUCUAAUUUGCAUUCAAGCUCAAAACAGAAAGUUUUCAAACAGGGACAAAGAAGAUCUAACAAGCAGCAAAGAUCUUGAUGGAGAAGAUAAAGGAAACCCAAAAGAUCUCAAAGAUAGAGAAUCUACAGAAGGCAGAGAAGAUUUAGAUGACAAAAAAAGCAAAGAUGAUAAAGGAAAUAAAGUUAACUUUGAAAAGAAAAAUAAUGAAAGA